GCUUCUUUGCUGACGAGUGGCGGACGGGUGAGUAAUGUCUGGGAAACUGCCUGAUGGAGGGGGAUAACUACUGGAAACGGUAGCUAAUACCGCAUAACGUCGCAAGACCAAAGAGGGGGACCUUCGGGCCUCUUGCCAUCGGAUGUGCCCAGAUGGGAUUAGCUAGUAGGUGGGGUAACGGCUCACCUAGGCGACGAUCCCUAGCUGGUCUGAGAGGAUGACCAGCCACACUGGAACUGAGACACGGUCCAGACUCCUACGGGAGGCAGCAGUGGGGAAUAUUGCACAAUGGGCGCAAGCCUGAUGCAGCCAUGCCGCGUGUAUGAAGAAGGCCUUAGGGUUGUAAAGUACUUUCAGCGGGGAGGAAGGGAGUAAAGUUAAUACCUUUGCUCAUUGACGUUACCCGCAGAAGAAGCACCGGCUAACUCCGUGCCAGCAGCCGCGGUAAUACGGAGGGUGCAAGCGUUAAUCGGAAUUACUGGGCGUAAAGCGCACGCAGGCGGUUUGUUAAGUCAGAUGUGAAAUCCCCGGGCUCAACCUGGGAACUGCAUCUGAUACUGGCAAGCUUGAGUCUCGUAGAGGGGGGUAGAAUUCCAGGUGUAGCGGUGAAAUGCGUAGAGAUCUGGAGGAAUACCGGUGGCGA
rnacentral:rRNA from 1 species